GGGAAAUUGUGUGAAGUGUUCUUGCCUCCACCAGUAGUCUACAACUGGAGUGGGCGGAGUAACUGUUAUCAUUUAUAUUGCACAUUUAAUUGCAACGUUGUUGCACAGUUACAUUAAACCAUACAUUUAUAAAAACAUUAGCAGGUGUUCAAAAGGCCCUGUCUAUGACAUCACUUGCUGCUGCAGCUUGACACAGGUCAGAGUAUUUUGGCAGUUGCCAUCUUCAAACGGUCGUAUCAUAAAAACUAUAAUUCCUACAGUGAAGAGCUUUAUAUUGUGAGAAUCACAAGACCCAGACCUACAUUUUGAUGCAUAGUAUGUCUCUGAAGUAUUAAAAUUGAAG
rnacentral:lncRNA from 1 species